CAAUCAAACCUCGAAAUAGCUGGUUCUCCGCGAAAUCUAUUUAGGUAGAGCGUCGGACUUAUACCUCGGGGGGUAGAGCACUGCAUAGGCUAGGGGGUCCUACAGACUUACCGAUCUUAAGCAAACUCCGAAUACCCGAGAGUACUAUCCGGCAGACACACGGCGGGUGCUAACGUCCGUCGUGAAGAGGGAAACAACCCUGACCAUCAGUUAAGGUCCCGAAGUCACGGCUAAGUGUGAAACGAUGUGGGAAUCCCAAAACAACCAGGAUGUUGGCUUAGAAGCAGCCAUCAUUUAAAGAAAGCGUAACAGCUCACUGGUCUAGACAAGGGUUCCUGCGCGGACAAUGUAACGGGGCUCAAGCCGUGCACCGAAACUAUGGGUGUGUACUUGUACACGCGGUAGCGGAGCGUUCCGUAGGCCUGCGAAGGAGGAUCUGUGAGGACCUCUGGAGGUAUCGGAAGUGAGAAUGCUGACAUGAGUAACGCUAAGGGUGUGAGAAGCACCCUCGCCGAAAGUCCAAGGGUUCCUGCGUAAAGCUAGUCUUCGCAGGGUUAGCCGGUCCCUAAGGCGAGGCCGAAAGGCGUAGUCGAUGGGAAUGAGGUGAAUAUUCCUCAGCCAGCAGGUGGUGACGGAUGUGAAGGAUCGUGUUCCCUUAACGGAUUGGGGAUGCGGUCUCAGCGUUCCAGGAAAUAGCCCCUGCAUCAGACCGUACCCGAAACCGACACAGGUGGACUGGUAGAGCAUACCAAGGCGUUGAGCGAAUUGUGCUGAAGGAACUCGGCAAAUUGCCUCCGUAACUUCGGGAGAAGGAGGCCCCGGUGAUGGGCAACCGUCAUCGGGGGGCACAGACUAGGGGGUGGCGACUGUUUAACAAAAACACAGGGCUCUGCGAAGCCGCUAAGGCGACGUAUAGGGUCUGACGCCUGCCCGGUGCCGGAAGGUUAAGAGGAGGGGUGCAAGCUCCGAAUUGAAGCCCCGGUAAACGGCGGCCGUAACUAUAACGGUCCUAAGGUAGCGAAAUUCCUUGUCGGGUAAGUUCCGACCUGCACGAAUGGCGUAACGACUUCCCCGCUGUCUCCAGCACAGGCUCAGUGAAAUUGAAUUCCCCGUGAAGAUGCGGGGUUCCUGCGGUCAGACGGAAAGACCCCGUGCACCUUUACUAUAGCUUCACACUGGCAUUCGUGUCGGCAUGUGUAGGAUAGGUGGUAGGCUAUGAAGUUCGGGCGCCAGCUCGGAUGGAGCCAUCCUUGAAAUACCACCCUUAUCGUCAUGACUGUCUAACCGCGACCCGUCAUCCGGGCCCGGGACAGUGUGUGGUGGGUAGUUUGACUGGGGCGGUCGCCUCCCAAAGAGUAACGGAGGCGCGCGAAGGUAGGCUCAGACCGGUCGGAAAUCGGUCGACGAGUGCAAUGGCAUAAGCCUGCCUGACUGCGAGACUGACACGUCGAGCAGAGUCGAAAGACGGCCAUAGUGAUCCGGUGGUCCCUCGUGGACGGGCCAUCGCUCAACGGAUAAAAGGUACGCCGGGGAUAACAGGCUGAUGAUGCCCAAGAGUCCAUAUCGACGGCAUCGUUUGGCACCUCGAUGUCGACUCAUCACAUCCUGGGGCUGGAGAAGGUCCCAAGGGUUCGGCUGUUCGCCGAUUAAAGUGGUACGUGAGUUGGGUUCAGAACGUCGUGAGACAGUUCGGUCCCUAUCUGCCGUGGGUGUAGGAGCAUUGAGAGGAUCUGUCCCUAGUACGAGAGGACCGGGAUGGACAUACCUCUGGUGGACCUGUUGUGGCGCCAGCCGCAUUGCAGGGUAGCUAAGUAUGGACUCGAUAACCGCUGAAGGCAUCUAAGCGGGAAACGAACCUCAAAACGAGUGCUCCCUAUCAGAGCCGUGGAAGACCACCACGUCGAUAGGCCGGGUGUGGAAGCGCAGCAAUGCGUGAAGCUUACCGGUACUAAUAGCUCGAUCGGCUUCAUC
rnacentral:rRNA from 1 species